CAUCUAUACUGUGAAACUGCGAAUGGCUCAUUAAAUCAGUUAUCGUUUAUUUGAUAGUACCUCACUACUUGGAUAACCGUGGUAAUUCUAGAGCUAAUACAUGCUAAAAACCCCGACUUCGGGAGGGGUGUAUUUAUUAGACAAAAAACCAAUGCCCUUCGGGGCUCCUUGGUGAAUCAUGAUAACUUAACGAAUCGCAUGGCCUUGCGCCGGCGAUGGUUCAUUCAAAUUUCUGCCCUAUCAACUUUCGAUGGUAGGAUAGUGGCCUACCAUGGUAUCAACGGGUAACGGGGAAUUAGGGUUCUAUUCCGGAGAGGGAGCCUGAGAAACGGCUACCACAUCCAAGGAAGGCAGCAGGCGCGCAAAUUACCCAAUCCCGACACGGGGAGGUAGUGACAAUAAAUACUGAUACAGGGCUCUUUUGGGUCUUGUAAUUGGAAUGAGUACAAUUUAAAUACCUUAACGAGGAACAAUUGGAGGGCAAGUCUGGUGCCAGCAGCCGCGGUAAUUCCAGCUCCAAUAGCGUAUAUUAAAGUUGUUGCAGUUAAAAAGCUCGUAGUUGAACCUUGGGCCUGGCUGGCCGGUCUGCCUCACCGCAUGUACUGGUUCGGCCGGGCCUUUCCUCCUGGGGAUCCGCAUGCCCUUCACUGGGUGUGUUGGGGAACCAGGACUUUUACUUUGAAAAAAUUAGAGUGUUCAAAGCAGGCCUUUGCUCGAAUACAUUAGCAUGGAAUAAUAGAAUAGGACGUGCGGUCCUAUUUUGUUGGUUUCUAGGACCGCCGUAAUGAUUAAUAGGGAUAGUCGGGGGCAUCAGUAUUCAGUUGUCAGAGGUGAAAUUCUUGGAUUUACUGAAGACUAACUACUGCGAAAGCAUUUGCCAAGGAUGUUUUCAUUAAUCAGUGAACGAAAGUUAGGGGAUCGAAGACGAUCAGAUACCGUCGUAGUCUUAACCGUAAACUAUGCCGACUAGGGAUCGGGCGAUGUUAUUCUUUUGACUCGCUCGGCACCUUACGAGAAAUCAAAGU
rnacentral:rRNA from 1 species